rnacentral:rRNA from 1 species
UACGGAGGGGACUAGCGUUGUUCGGAAUUACUGGGCGUAAAGCGUACGUAGGCGGAUUAGUCAGUUAGAGGUGAAAUCCCAGGGCUCAACCCUGGAACUGCCUUUAAUACUGCUAGUCUUGAGUUCGAGAGAGGUGAGUGGAAUUCCGAGUGUAGAGGUGAAAUUCGUAGAUAUUCGGAGGAACACCAGUGGCGAAGGCGGCUCACUGGCUCGAUACUGACGCUGAGGUACGAAAGUGUGGGGAGCAAAC